CGAUCGCCUGAAGUCAAACACAUUCAGUUAUUUGCGUGAGGAUGGCAGUUCGUUUGGCAUCAUGUUAACAUGGAAUAAAGAAAAGAAAGUCCAAAGAGGAAGAGGAUGGAGGAAGUUGUACAAAUCUUGCAGAGAUAUUCCCAAAACACCAUUGUACCCUUGAGCAAGGCAUUUACCUCCAGGAGAAAUCAUUUACAAGCCAAUGGCCAAGCAGCGCACUCAAUCCACAGUGCAGCAUUCCUAACUGUGAAAGCUAGGAGAUGUCACCAGGGAGAAUAGAGAGAGAGCGCAUUGAGCCCGGCCAGGAGUGAGUGGAAUGACCAAAGCCAUACAGGAAACUAUAUGACUGCAAUGAGAAAACACAACAAUUCAACCGAGAGGGACAGCCCCCGCCCCAUGUGCCCUCCCCACUCUCUUGCCUUGUUUGUGGACCACCCAAGAUGGCCUCAGAGGCAGGAACGAACAUUUUUAAAAAUAAAUUGUUGGAAGGGACAUAACUGACUGUGACACUCAAGAUGGCUACCAGGUAAGCAGUUCUUAUUUUUUCUCUCCAGAUAAAAGUUGAAAUUUUGUUUGUCAUAGUACCUAGAAAACUUUUUAGUUCUCAUUAAUUUGUAAAUGCAUAUAUUUAAUGUAAUAUCAUGUUGCGGUAAUGAUAAUUUUGGAUAAUGAUAAUCUAAAAAAUGUAAAUAAUUCUAUAGGAAAUAUUUUUAAAUCCUAUAAAAAUAAAGGUUAUAAUAAGUUCAGACCUUAAUCUUAUAUGUGCAAAAAAUAAAUAAAAAAUAUUGGCUUCAAGGGCUUUUUAAAAAUUCUGAUGCUGGACACCUUCUAAAUCUGGAUUUCGUUAGAAUCACCAAUUUAGGAUGUGCUAUGUAACAUUAUGCUAUGUAAACACUGUCUGAUAUGUGUUUAGGAAUGCUUAUAUUCUUACCAGGACAGAUCCACCAGUCCUCCUUGAUUUGCUAUGGCAGAUUUUACCCUGUUUGCAAAAUGAACAGCAUCCUCCCCAUCCUAAUAAGAUACAAAUCAAAUAAUAAUGAAUAAAACUGUAAGAUUGUGAAAUGUUGUACAAUCUAAAACUUUAACAGAAACUUGUGUUUGUCUGCUUUUAGGCAU